rnacentral:ribozyme from 1 species
AAAAGAACUGAGAGAAGUGACCAAGAGAAGAGACAAUCAACACUUCUCUCUCAAAUGAAACAUCUCUUUCUCUUUCUCUUUCUCUUCCUUUUCUCUUUUCUUCUCUCUUUUGUUGUUCUC